rnacentral:misc_RNA from 1 species
AAUUCACGUUACGUGCAGCCAAAGAAAAGCAGAGAAGGGCAGCCCGGCCGGAGGAAUCUUCACGGGACGUUCACUAUCAUCGUGAGUCUUGAACUAGACUGUGCACAGGCACUGAAGAACUCGUUCCUUUCCCUCUUCCUUUUCUUUCAGUCCAGCUCAAGCUGGAGGCGGAGGGACACCCGAAGGUUGCCCUCGGCUUUAACCAAACCAAAAUGGUUAGCAUAUCGUAGCAUCAUAAAUCGAAGCGUCUUCAUUCGUGCAACAGCUUUCAACCACCGAAUUAAUAGAUCACCGUCGAUGCCCACCAUAAAAUCUGUACAUUAGCCACUGACAACCGUUUAGCAAUAAAAUAUCUCAUUUCUCUAUCUCGAUACAAUGUUUCAUAUACUGUGUCUCACUAAAGCACUUCAAUGCUUCUAUAAACUUUUUUAUCAAUAUAUGUAUAUAGUAUCUUGUUUCAUAAAGAUUUCAUUGGAAUUCAUUUGAUAUUUAUUACAAGCAUACACUUCAUAGAGAUUAUUUAAGUAUUUGAAUAAUCAAUUAUUAUAUUAGUUAGAGCAUCUUUAACAUUAAUUAUAUGCUUAAAACUAUUUAUACUCAAACGAAUAUUUUUCUAAAUGUGUAUUUGCAAUAAAUAGAUUCUAAUAUUUACCUUUAUACGUAUUUAUUUUAAGAGUGAUUCCAUAUUUUAUCAAUAUACAAUGGUUCUCGGAAGUAUUUGAACGUUAUAGAAACUGUGUGUAUAAUAUAAAACACUGAAAUCUCAUUAACACUGUAAUGAAACAUGACGAUAAUUAUAUUGGUCUUUGAAACCAAUCUGAAGAUAGUUACAACAUAGUUACUGCAAACGUAUAUUUAAUUCGAGACUAGUAUAGAUCAUGAUUAAUAAUCUUAAACAUAUAAUACGUAAAUAGUCGACUCUCGUUACAAUGCUAAUCGAAUUUCAAAGUGUUUCAUUUUUAUGUAACAUGCAUAAUAUAUACAUAAAUACUUCGUGAGCUAUUGUAUGUACAAUCGAUAGUAUCGAACAAAACGAAGAUCUAUUGAAAACGAUCGUAUCUGUGACAUAAAAAGAAUGAGAAACUACAUUAUACAUUAUUCAAAGUGUAACACGCGAAAACAACGUUUUUACAUUGAUACGUACGUUUAUAUAAUGCCUAGAGGAAAGCAGAUGGUGGUGAAUGGAUGCACGUUUCUCUUUGCGCAUGAUAACGUUUUACUAUUUUAGAUAUACUAUACGGAAUAAUUUCUAUCAAAAGUACUGAGGAUUUGAAUGAAAUUUAGAAAUAGAAAGAAAGACCUUGUAUCGAAUAACUGGUUUAA